rnacentral:rRNA from 1 species
AGAGCGAACGCUGGCGGCAGGCUUAACACAUGCAAGUCGAGCGGGCGUAGCAAUACGUCAGCGGCAGACGGGUGAGUAACGCGUGGGAACAUACCUUUUGGUUCGGAACAACACAGGGAAACUUGUGCUAAUACCGGAUAAGCCCUUACGGGGAAAGAUUUAUCGCCGAAAGAUUGGCCCGCGUCUGAUUAGCUAGUUGGUGAGGUAACGGCUCACCAAGGCGACGAUCAGUAGCUGGUCUGAGAGGAUGAUCAGCCACAUUGGGACUGAGACACGGCCCAAACUCCUACGGGAGGCAGCAGUGGGAAUAUUGGACAAUGGGCGCAAGCCUGAUCCAGCAAUGCCGCGUGUGUGAAGAAGGUCUUCGGAUUGUAAAGCACUUUCGACGGGACGAUGAUGACGGUACCCGUAGAAGAAGCCCGGCUAACUUCGUGCCAGCAGCCGC